ACGCUCGACACCUACGGAGGCAGCAGUGGGGGAUAUUGCACAAUGGGGGGAACCCUGAUGCAGCGACGCCGCGUGAGGGAAGAAGGUUUUCGGAUUGUAAACCUCUGUCCUCAGGGAAGAAGAUGACGGUACCUGAGGAGGAAGCCACGGCUAACUACGUGCCAGCAGCCGCGGUAAUCUGAGCGGGCUGGCAAGGC
rnacentral:rRNA from 1 species